UACGUAGGGGGCUAGCGUUGUCCGGAUUUAUUGGGCGUAAAGAGCGUGUAGGCGGCCAGACAGGUCAGCUGUGAAAACUCGAGGCUCAACCUCGAGACGUCGGUUGAAACCGUCUGGCUAGAGUCCGGAAGAGGAGAGUGGAAUUCCCGGUGUAGCGGUGAAAUGCGCAGAUAUCGGGAAGAACACCCGUGGCGAAGGCGGCUCUCUGGGACGGUACUGACGCUGAGGCGCGAAAGCGUGGGGAGCAAACGGG
rnacentral:rRNA from 1 species